rnacentral:rRNA from 1 species
UCUGGUGGCGAUAGCGAAGAGGUCACACCCGUUCCCAUACCGAACACGGAAGUUAAGCUCUUUAGCGCCAAUGGUAGUUGGGACUUUGUCCCUGUGAGAGUAGGACGUUACCAGGC